UACGGAGACUGCAAGCGUUAUUCGGAUUCACUGGGCGUAAAGGGUGCGUAGGCGGCCAAGUGUGUCAGGUGUGAAAUCUCGGGGCUCAACCUCGAAACUGCGCUUGAAACUACUUGGCUAGAGUCUCGGAGAGGAAAGUGGAAUUCCUGGUGUAGCGGUGAAAUGCGUAGAUAUCAGGAGGAACACCAAUGGCGAAGGCAGCUUUCUGGACGAGUACUGACGCUGAGGCACGAAAGUGUGGGUAGCGAAAGGG
rnacentral:misc_RNA from 1 species